CCUACGGGCGGCAGCAGUAGGGAAUAUUGCUCAAUGGGGGAAACCCUGAAGCAGCAACGCCGCGUGGAGGAUGAAGGUUUUAGGAUUGUAAACUCCUUUUGUUAGAGAAGAUUAUGACGGUAUCUAUCGACUAAGCACUGGCUAAAUCCGUGCCAGCAGCCGCGGUCAUACGGAGGGUGCAAGCGUUACUCGGAAUCACUGGGCGUAAAGGGUGCGGAGGUGGGGUGAUAUGUCAGGUGUGAAAUCCUGUGGUUUAAAUACAGGACUGGAUUUGAAGCUGUUACUGUGGAGUGUGGGUGGGGUGGGUUAGAAUCUUGGGGUAAGCGGAGAAAC
rnacentral:rRNA from 1 species